rnacentral:lncRNA from 1 species
CCUUAAAACUCACCUUUUCAACUUACGGGUUUACAAAUAUUCACAGCCCUUGCAGCCUCAUCAAUGACCUUUCCAGAAAAAGCAACCGCCCAAAAUAAGAAACCUACAGGAAUUGCAUCUGCAACAGUUCUUGUUGCAUCUCAUUGUAUAGAAGUUGCAGAAGAUAUGGGAGCUGAUCAUGAACAAAUCUUAUCAGUCGUCAAUUUAGCAAUCAGUGCAAGAACUAAUGGCGAUAUAAUGACACUUACUGCUGGAACUUCUACAGGUGUAAAUUUAAUUUUCGUCAUAGAUUACAUUGAUCUGAAUCUUAAAGUAAAUCAACUUAGUGUAUGGAAUGACCCCAAAACCUAACCCACAUUCCUUCAUGACAAAACCCCAUAUAUUUCUUGCUUACGGCAUCACAUCCGCCUAUUCUCCUCAAUACCCACAAUUUUUUAAACAAGUCCACCAAUCUUCCAUUACCACACAAAGCCGAAAUAGGUUUAAUAAGCUUGCUUACAGACUUUUCUCUUAAAAAACAAUACAAAUGCUUCAUCAAAAAGACCUUUAGCCCCUCAUUAUAAUAUUAAAAUAACAUUCCUGAUUGGAAAAUCAAGCCUGUAAGAAGUCUCAAUAUCCUCUUCAAUACUUAUGACUUCAUGCAAAUUUGAAUGAAGGAGACGCUGUUUUUGGGUCGUCGACAGCUUGUCUCCCAUUAAUUAAUAAUAAAUAAAAAAUCCUUAUUGUCCUUCCAUUAUAGUUGGAGUAAAACAUAGAAACUAAUCAGACUUAUCAAUGGCUGCCUGACAUCAUCAGAAGAAAGCCCAAGACAUCUUCUUAAAUCUUAUUUAUUUUUGCUUUGCCCUCAAUAUCAUAAGCAUUGAUUAAAAUAACAUCCCAUCUUCAAAUUAUCUUCAAAUUAAUGUAGACAGUGAACACUAGACUUGAAUCAAUUAAAGACAGUGAACACUUUACUCCCUAGUUCAUACUAUCAAAAUCAGUUUGACAUGCAAGUAAUAUCAAUUAAAACUAAAAAUCAAACUAUUUCAAUUCACCAUUAAAAAGCAAAUGAGGAAUACUAACGGCAUUAUUAACUAAAUGCUAAAGAUUAACAACUUUCAGAAAAAAGAAAUGAAACUAAAACUAAAAAUAAAAUUAUUUCAAUUCACCAUUAA